AGCCGUCGCCCGCCCCCGCGUCCCCCCGAGCCCCCCUUGCCGCCACCACCCCUUCCUUCUGCCCCGUGCCGGAUCCGCCUGCCGCCGCCACCGCCGCCGCUCUCCUCUGCCCCAUGCCGGACCCUACCUCCUGUCCUCUUCUUCCUCCCGCUACCCUCAUCCCUUCUUACCGCCGCCGAGUCCUCUCCUCUCCCCGUCGGCGCGAGUGCGUGGGUCGCGGCGUGCGGAGAGCGAGGAGGAGAGGACAGACGCGUGAGGAAGAGGAGGCCACGGCCGUCGGCUCCUCUCCCCGUUGACUCCUCUCCUCUCCCCGUCGGCGCCAGCACGCUGGUCGUGCCUCUCCCCGUUGGCUCCUCUCCUCUCCCCGCCGGCGCCAGUGCGCUGGUCGUGAGGCGUGAGGAGCGUACGGCCCGUUGCAGCCGCCGUGGGGCGUGGUUGCGGAUCAGCGCAGGUCACCGCCGUGGGAGAGGUGUGUCGUGGUUCCGGAUUGGCGCAGGUCGUCGCCGCCGAAGAGAAAGGGUGGCCUGGUCUUGUGGUGCUUGUGGAGGAGCAGGGGUGGCCCUUCUCCUACAUCACCACAUCAAGUAGGAGGAGGAGGUCCUCGUCAUCCAUCACAACCGUCAGGGGCUUGCUGACACUGGAUCCAGUGGGGAGGAGAUCCUUUAGGCAUUUGAUUCUUGUGGGAUUCCCACGCAUCUUGCAAGAUAAACAUGCCAUUGUUUUUCACGCACACAUAUGCUUUGAUUUCUGAAUCAGGGCCGGAUAGUAAACUGCACCAUUCUAUAUUACGUUCCUAACCAAAGAUAUAUUGUUUGCUGAUACACUGGUCUUUAUUUGUUAGUUUUUACAGAAUAAAUGUAUCGUGGAUAACUAGCUUUGGGGCAUAUCCCUGCUAUCCUUUCAAAGAAAAACAUUGGUUUAAGUCUACACUUUAUUACGCAGAUGUAGCUUAACACCUUCAAAUUAUUAAUGUGUUCUCACUUUUCUUUAGGUGAUGGAUCAUCCUGAAAAACAGGUUGAGUGCAUCAGCUACUUCCAUGGCAAUGGAUUUAAGGAAUGCAAAUCAACGAGGCACAUUAUCUAACUCGUAUAAACUUAUCAUUGUUUUUACCUUUUCAUGCAGUUUUCCUUUACGAUUAUAGAUGACAUCUUAGCAGAAAGAAUAUAGUUGUGAAAUUUACUGCAAAUGUAAGCCUUGGAGUUUCAUAUUCACCUUGAAGUAUUCUUGAAAUGAAAGAUAGGCUUUGUUGGUUCCUCAGUUUGGAGAACUAGAGUUAUGGCGAUACAUAUUUGGGUAUUGAAACUAUCUGUGUUUGUGAUCAGCUCAUUUUUGUGUUGGAUGCUUAUUUAGCUAGCAGAGACGGCGCCAUCUCCGGCCGCCGGCGCUCUGCAGUGAUGCCUAAAACUGAGUUGUUGUUUAGGCCUCCUACGGUUCGUAGAUAGGAAUAUCAUCCUGUAGGGAAAGAGACUUCAUUUGAUGCAUAUAUAUAUACUAUGCUGCAUACUUUGUAGAUUUGUAUGGUUCCUAAAUAUACGACAGUGUUUGAUUAAUUUUUGUUCCAGAAAGGAGUAUCUAUCCUGUUUAUAAGGAUCCAUAUUGCAGGAUAUCAAAAUUAGUCAUUACUCAAUGCAGCCAUAUAGAUGACUGCAAAGCAAAAUUUUCAUAUCCUAAACUAUGAUUAAUACAUAGUUAUGAGCAUUUUUUCCUGUUUUACCACAGAUUGCCAUGGUCCAUGUGUUGAAAUCUGAAAUUUUUGAAUAUAUACUACUGGGUUAGUUUUAUUGCGGUAGGAUUAACUGAAGCAUAACUUAAAUGUGGCAUGUCAUUGUAAGAAGAAUCAGCUUUUGAUUAGUAUUUUGAAAUAGGAUAAAAUGAUUCAUCCAUUGAACGCGAAGAGUUCCUACCGGUAUUUGUUGGAUGACGACAAAAAAUAACUUGGGCCGUUCUAGCCCUGUUCCAAACUUCACUCGUAGAGGGUUGAGGGCGGGUGGCAGACGUCCAACCUAGAGCGCUUCAUGUACUGCACCAUCCUGGACGUCAAGGCCCACAUUCUUCUGAGGUGACACUAUUGCACCUCUCAAACCUGGCACCUUAAAUGCUUUGUCGUGUUCAAUUUUCACUGUUGCACCUCUCAAACCUGGCACCUUAAAUGCUUUGUCGUGUUCAAUUUUGCUCAAGAGUUCUGACAGUUUAAGGAUCUGUCAUUGCUUGUAUCUGUUGUGCGUGACAUGACCUUCUAAUUACCGAAUUAGUGCUCAUUGUUCGAUCAUAGACAUGAAAUGUUGAAUAAUGGUAUAGUAUACAUGUAAUGUGUCCGCUCUAUUUCCCUCUUCUCUAUUUUAAGAAUUUUUUUUGCUGCCUGCAGAGAACGAAAUUUGUUUUCUGCUGACACUAUGCAUACUGCCUAAUAAAUACACACACCUGUUGAUCCCCUGUUUUCUUGCUGUUUGACAAAUAGUACAAGCAAAGCAAGUUCAGGUGCUAUUCUAUUUAGAAAUAGCUACACAACACAUAUCAUUUAGUUACUAUGAUCAUUGUGUGUCUCGCUAGAAAUUAAUACACAUACAGGCACAUAUAGAAUCAUAAACCGCACUUACUCCCAGUAUCUUCUUCCCUACGAGGUCGGAGGCGAGCUUCCUGGCGACGGCGGCGGCGCUGGAUUUUCUCAUGGGUUGGUGGUGUAUCUACCGCUGACCUCCGGCACAGAUACACCGACCUCCGGGGCCCCAGCCCCUCCGCCCCCGGCCUCACCUUUCCCGUGUCCGCCCUCGCCGAGCAUUGAAUCUGCCGGCCACCAGACUCAAUGAUGGUUGAUCUUGUUAGCUACAGAUGAUAUUCCCUGUUUCGAACAAGAUUGAAUUUUGAUGGACUGCAUAUAGUGUUUGAUUCUCCUACACCGUGCCCUGAAUGAUCUUAUGUUCACCCAGACUUAUAGGUUUCUAAAUACUAGGCUCAUGGGACUUAAUUCUAAUGGUAACAGUCCCGAAAAGAAAGAGGACUAUGGACCUGAGUGGGAAUGGAGGCAGGAUAUUCUUCUGGAUGGCUAUGUUGAGGUGGUGGUUGGUCCGAUCCAUGGUGUACGCAAAAUCGGUCAGCAUGGUGGAGUUGUGCUGUGGGGAGGACACUGGUUUGGAGAUCUAGGCGACUAUCUGCGUGCUGGGUGGAUCAGUAGCCCACCUCGGGAUAGAGGCAAGCGGCGCUUCACGUGUGCCUCGCCAUGCCACAACAGUGGCGUUGACAAUGUUUAAUCCUAAGACCACUAUUUUUGUGUCUAUAUGCAGUGUUCACUUUGUCUAUAUCUUGGCAAUGUUUAAUCAUAAAACCACUAAUUCUGUGUC